AUUGAACGCUGGCGACAGGCCUAACACAUGCAAGUCGAGCGGAGCGGCGGACGGGUGAGUAAUGCCUAGGAAUCUGCCUGGUAGUGGGGGAUAACGUCCGGAAACGGGCGCUAAUACCGCAUACUAUCAGAUGAGCCUAGGUCGGAUUAGCUAGUUGGUGGGGUAACGGCUCACCAAGGCGACGAUCCCUAGCUGGUCUGAGAGGAUGACCAGCCACACUGGAUCGGAGACACGGUCCGGACUCCUACGGGAGGCAGCAGUGGGGAAUAUGGGAAAAUGGGCGCAAGCCUGAUGCAGCCAUGCCGCGUGUAUGAAGAUGGCCUUCGGGUUGUAAAGUACUUUCAGCGGGGAGGCGUUACCCGCUGAAGAAGCACCGGCUAACUCCGUGCCAGCAGCCGCGUAAUUC
rnacentral:rRNA from 1 species